UACGUAGGGGGCAAGCGUUGUCCGGAUUCAUUGGCGUAAGAGCUCGUAGGCGGUUCAGUUAGUCGGGUGUGAAAUCUCCGGGCUCAACCCGGAGGGCCACCCGAUACUGCUGUGACUCGAGUCCGGUAGGGGAGUGGGGAAUUCCUGGUGUAGCGGUGAAAUGCGCAGAUAUCAGGAGGAACACCAGUGGCGAAGGCGCCGCUCUGGGCCGUGACUGACGCUGAGGGAGCGAAAAGCGUGGGGUAGCAAAACAGG
rnacentral:rRNA from 1 species